UGCCCAGGUGGUGAAAUUGGUAGACACGCUAGCUUCAGGUGUUAGUGGCCCCCGGCCGUGAAGGUUCAAGUCCUUUCCUGGGCACCAU
rnacentral:tRNA from 1 species